rnacentral:rRNA from 1 species
UACAGAGGGUGCAAACGUUGCUCGGAAUUACUGGGCGUAAAGCGCGUGUAGGCGGUGCCGCACGUCCGAUGUGAAAGCCCGGGGCUCAACCCCGGAAGUGCAUUGGAUACGACGGCGCUGGAGUCCUGAAGAGGAGGGCGGAAUUCCCGGUGUAGAGGUGAAAUUCGUAGAUAUCGGGAGGAACACCAGUGGCGAAGGCGGCGUCUCUGGACAGGUACUGACGGCUGAGACGCGAAAGCGUGGGUAGCAAAACAGG